CGCUGGCGGCGUUGCCUAACACAUGCAAGUCGAACGGAACUUUCUUUUAAAAGGAUUUCUUCGGAAUGAAUUUGAUUAAGUUUAGUGGCGGACGGGUGAGUAACGCGUGAGUAACCUGCCUCUAAGAGGGGAAUAGCAUUCUGAAAAGAAUGCUAAUACCGCAUAAUAUAUAUUUAUCGCAUGGUAGAUAUAUCAAAGAUUUAUCGCUUAGAGAUGGACUCGCGUCCGAUUAGUUAGUUGGUGAGGUAACGGCUCACCAAGACCGCGAUCGGUAGCCGGACUGAGAGGUUGAACGGCCACAUUGGGACUGAGACACGGCCCAGACUCCUACGGGAGGCAGCAGUGGGGGAUAUUGCGCAAUGGGGGAAACCCUGACGCAGCAACGCCGCGUGAAGGAUGAAGGUCUUCGGAUUGUAAACUUCUUUUAUUAAGGACGAAGAAAGUGACGGUACUUAAUGAAUAAGCUCCGGCUAACUACGUG
rnacentral:rRNA from 1 species